rnacentral:rRNA from 1 species
GACGGAGGAUGCAAGUGUUAUCCGGAAUCACUGGGCGUAAAGCGUCUGUAGGUGGUUUGUUAAGUCUGAUGUGAAAGCCCUGGGCUCAACCUGGGAAUUGCAUUGGAUACUGGCAGGCUAGAGUGCGGUAGAGGGUAGUGGAAUUCCCGGUGUAGCAGUGAAAUGCGUAGAGAUCGGGAAGAACACCAAAGGCGAAAGCGCUCUGCUGGGCCGAAAACUGACACUGAGAGACGAAAGCUAGGGGAGCGAAUGGG